rnacentral:lncRNA from 1 species
GAGAAACGUCAUACUGUGAAUUGGCUGCACUGCUUGCCUCAUCCAUAUUUGAUCUAAUUGUGACUUUUAACCAUGGUUAUGUUUUGGUUCACAGUUAUCAAAUUCAAUCUCAUAGUGGAUCCAGAAGAUUUUAGGAUGCAUACAAAAUGAAUGUUCAAAAAUUUAAACCUUUUUAGGGACAAUUUCUGAAAAGGCUUCAACCUUCUUUAUGAAUGUUUUGAUUGCAAACAUGAGUAAUACCAGUUCAAAUAGUUUCUCUCUUAAUUCACCAACUAGCAUCUAACCUAUCAUUUGCAGUUGGACACUACCGUUCCUAGAGAAAUGUUUAGGCUUGCAUCAUGAUAGGUCUCCUUCUAAGAGCAUCUCUAGCAGACCCCGCAUCCCAUCCCGACCCGCAAAAUAACCGCCAAAACGCGGGUCGGGGCGGGAAAACCUGCCCGAUCAGACCCUGCAUCCCGCCCCGGACCGCAAAUUUUUUUACGGGGCGCGGCAAAAUCUCGGCCCCAACCCACGAAUACGCGGGUUUCCCCCUCGGCGCUGCGGUGCCCUGCAUAUAAGCGGAAGCGGUUGAUGGGGGGACAUUUGAGCCCGCGCUUUCCCCACCAACCACCUCACCUCUCCCCCCUCGCCCCGCCGUCCAAGAUUCUGGCGAAAGCAGCCGGCGGGAGCACGCCGAAAGGCCGCCACACGCAUGAGGNNNNNNNNNNNNNNNNNNNNNNNNNNNNNNNNNNNNNNNNNNNNNNNNNNNNNNNNNNNNNNNNNNNNNNNNNNNNNNNNNNNNNNNNNNNNNNNNNNNNNNNNNNNNNNNNNNNNNNNNNNNNNNNNNNNNNNNNNNNNNNNNNNNNNNNNNNNNNNNNNNNNNNNNNNNNNNNNNNNNNNNNNNNNNNNNNNNNNNNNNNNNNNNNNNNNNNNNNNNNNNNNNNNNNNNNNNNNNNNNNNNNNNNNNNNNNNNNNNNNNNNNNNNNNNNNNNNNNUGGCUUUUCCGGCCACCGGUGGCUGCGCCAAGCGAUGGAAUGAUUGGGGAGCAUCUCCCGCAGCCCCGGCAAGGGCGCAUCGCCGCGUGCAGGUACGGGUUCGUCGUCCCGCCGCCGCCGACGGUUUGUGGGCAUGGAUUCGUCCGGCCGUCCACCGGGCUCGGCGCUCGCGCAACGGCUCUGUGGCUCGCCGAUGCCGCUCAUACAGUGCGACGACUGCACGUGGACAGUGCUGCGGCUAACUUUGGGCACGCUGAAUGUAAGUGCAUCUAGUGCCACCCCUAGUUGGUUUUGGAGUAUUGACGACAAACCUGGUUGAGGGACUAAUGUGUUUGUGAGAAUUGCAGGAUAACACAGGUAGUAGUCUCUCAUUGAUACGGUUUACCUACCGGAGAUGACCCCUAAAAAUGUAUGAAGACAUUGAAGGCAAUGGUGGUAUGUGAAGAUAUUCACAUUGAAGACUAUGACAAGAGAAGACAUUGCGUGAAGACUAUGGAGCGCGAAGACUUAGUUGUUUCGUUGUUUCCUUUUCUUCUUUGUUGAGUCAUAGGAACCACCGUACUGUUAAGUGGGGUCCCAGUGAACAAAGUCAGAGUGACUGAAGUGAUGCUCAACCAAAAUCCUAUGUCUUCGAGCGAAGAAAAUGAGAGCAAAUCUUAUCCAGAGCUGGAUGAGUCAGCUUUACUUGUAGCCCAAGUAAAGUUGCCGCGUGUGUUUGAAAUCUGACCGUUGGAACACGUGUCAGUUCCUUAGUGACCCAGGGUCAUUUCGGACAAAUCAGGUCGGGUUGCCUAGUGGCUAUAAAUAGCCCACCCCCUACACCAUAAAUUGGUGGCUGCUCAGAGUUAGUGCACGGCUUUUGUCGUUUGAGAGAAACCCACCUCCGAAGCUUUUGAGAGAGAGAAAUCCUUGCGAGGACAAAGCCCAAACACCCAGAGCCAAAGAGUGUUAGGCAUCACUGAAGUCUUUCUGUCCGCGUGACCUGAAGACUUGUUACACUUGAGGACUGUGAAUCCUCCAGCCGGUUAGGGGUCGCGUUCUGAGCAUCCAAGAGUCAUUGUGGAUCGCCGGUGAACGAAGUCUAUGAAGGUUUGGAAGUCUACCUUGAAGACUUACCAGAGUGAUUGGGCGAGGACUGGGUGUCCUUAGCUCAAGGGGAAUAAGGUGAAAACGCGGUCUUCUGAGUUGAAUCUCAGCCUCCCUAACCAGACGUACAGUUGUCACAGCAACUGGAACUGGUUCAACAAAUCAUGUGUCCUCAACAAGUGACUGGUUCUAUCCUCUCCCUCUCCUUACUUACAGUUUGUCUUCGUGAAGUUAUUGCCUGUUUGCUUUACCUAUUUGUCUUCACUGUGUGACUACUAUCGUUAUUUGGCUUCAUACCAUCUUCCAUCCUGAUCCUUACUACCUAGCUGCUAUUAGUCUUCGUGCUUUCACUUCAUUGCAGACUUGACUAUGGGUUGCUUAGUGUAGUUUACCUUCCGCUGCAUAUCAAUAGGUUCAUUUCUAUUGUUUGUCUUCGAAACUCUCGUGUUUUGAAGACUUUCAUAAAAAUCGCGUAUUCACCCCCCCUCUAGUCGAUAACUAGCACUUUCAAUUGGUGUUAGAGCAAGGUACUCCCUUGUUCUGUGUGAUUCGGUUUAACCACCUGGAGUUUUAGCUAUGUCGACUGCAGGGAUAAUCAAAGUCUCCGCUGCUUGCCCCGUCUUCGAUUGAACUGAAUAUCCCUAUUGGAAGAAUAAGAUGCGCAUGCAUCUUGAAGCCAUUGAUGUCGACCUCUAGUAUGUCGUCAAGAAUGGCGUUCCCAAGACUGGUGAAGGUGUCACCCCUGCUGAUGUCAAGAAGUUCAUUCAACUGGAUUCUACUGCCAAGAACAUCAUUUGUGGUCAUCUGACCAAAGGACAGUAUGGCCGUGUGAGUGCUCUGGAAACGUCGAAGCUAGUCUGGGACUGGCUCUCCAAAGUCAACGAAGGCGUCUCAACCCAGAGAGAUCAAAGGAUCAGUGUUCUUCGCAACCUCUUCAACCGCUUCAAGAGAAACGACAAUGAGAAUGUCCAGCUCACGUUUGAUCGCCUCACUGACAUCACAAAUGAGCUUCGUGCUCUCGGCGCCACUGAGAUCACCAAGCAUGAAAUCGUCAAGACACUACUGAGAUCACUUGCAGCUCGUUCGACACCCUUGCCCUCAUGAUACAAGAACGCCCUGACUUCAAGACACUCGAUCCGUCUGAUAUACUUGAGAGGAUCAACACACAUGAGUUCCAGCUAUCUGAGAAAAGAGAUAUCUAUGGUCCCAACUACGGUCGAACUCGUGCUUUGAAGGCAAAAGCUGUUUCCUCAUCUGAAGAAGAAUCUGACUGAAGUUCUGAUGAUCCUGAAGACAUUGGAAAGGAACUUGCUAUGCUUGUGAAGAAGUUCCAGAAGUUCACUAAGAAGAAGGGCUUCAGAAAGUCUUCACGAUCCAGCUUAAGAAAUGAUGAAGCUUCCACUCAUGACUACAAGAAGAGAACAUGUCACAAGUGCAAGAAACCUGGACACUACAUCUCUGAGUGUCCACAGUGGGACAAUGAGAACAACAAGAAGAAGAAGAGCAAGGAAUAUGAUUCUGAUGACAAGAAGAAGAAGAAGAAGAAAUCCUCAAAGUCUUCUUCCAAGUCCUCAUCCAAGUCUUCAUCUCAUAAGAAGAGCUCAUCUAGCAAGGCUCGUGCUUUUGUUGGCAAGGAGAUGGAUUCAGAGGAGGAGUCUGCUUCUGAGGAGGCGGAGGUGGAGUCUGAGGAGGAGUCCGACCCUGGCGUUGCAAAUCUGGCUCUAGCAACAGCCUACGUUGCCAAAUCCAUCUUCAACACUGAAGACAAUGGCUUCGUCACCAACGUUGAAGCUAAUGACAAGGACGACUCUGCUCCCACCUACUGCUUCAUGGCACGUGGUGCCAAGGUAAAAUCACGCGAUGCUUACUUUCAAACAUCAAGUGAAGAUGACUCUGAUUGUGAAUCCAAACCCAGCUACAAAACACUUGCUAAAAUUGCAACUGAACAACAGAAAGCUAUGGAACAUACUCAAAAACUGUUAGACAAAAGCGAGGACAUGUUGGACGCUAAAAUGAACCGUUCUCGGUCCUUAAUUGAAGACAUAAAAAAUCUUCAUGUUAAGUACCAGGAACUUGAAAGUCAUCAUGAAACGCUCUCAACCACUCAUGAAAAGCUCUCCUAUGAUUAUCUUCAAAGGAAGAAAGAGCUUGAUAAAUUGAGAGCGGCUCAUGAAGAUCUUCAAAAAGAGAAUGAGUCACUUCGCGCUCAACAGAUCAGUUCCGCUCAGGAAGGAUUUGAACCACCAUGUCUAAAAUGCCUUGAGCGUGAUAACGCUACUUCUAUUGCUGAGUGUUCUACUGCUGCUACUGUUGCAAUAUCUUCAACUGCUGAUGUGGUAAUUAACCCCUCUGCUGAGGAUACCACUACUAUUGCUGAUGAAAAUGCUAGGUUGAAGACAUUGCUUGAAACAGGGAUGUACAAAAGUCUCAAAGGGCAUCAGACACUGUGUGAUGUCCUCAAAAAGCAUAUUCUGAACCGAAACCCUAGGAAAGAGGUGUUGGGUUCGAGAGGAAAAUGAAUGUUGAUGGCUCCUACUGGAAGCCUGAGCAGUACCCCAAAACCACAUGGGUUGCUGCAAAGGGACCUUCAGUGGAUCCAUCCACCUUAUCUGGCUUCACUUGUGCUAACCCUGUUAUCAUUGAUGAAUCAUUUGAUGCAAACUAUAAACUGUUUAAGAAUCAGAAUGGUGAAGUGUUUGCCAGGUAUAUUGGUACUAACUGCAGGAAUGGACCACCUAUGAAGAAGAUCUGGGUUCCCAAAAGUUGUCUCGAGAAUCUUCCUAUGAAUGUCAUCAUGACACCACCUGGGAAGAAGACAAAUCCCAGACCAAAGGCUUCAUAUGGUCCAAAGGCUUCAUACAGACAAAGGACUCACCUGAGUCACCCUAACGCCAAUGUUUUGCAGGGAAACCAUACUCAGACUUAUGAAUAUGAGCGUGUUUCUUCAAACCGCUAUGUUCAUAAAACUAAGAACUAUUUUGCGUAUUCAUAUGAGUACUAUUCACCUCCUGCAAGGCUAUUUGCUAGGGCUUCAAAGCCGAAGUUCUCAGAUGCUGCACUUAGACUCAUUGCUUCUAAGCCACCCCUGAAGAUGUGGGUGGUUAAGAAGAAUUAAUUUUCUUUUGCAGGGAAAGGUCUCCAGUCAGAAAUCAAAGGCGUCUGAUGCUAUUGCUGGGGACCUAAAACAUCUUGUAGGGCGCAAGAUCAAAUGCCCAAAUGGUCUCACUAUGUAUUUUGUUCCUGAAUCAUUUGCCAAUCAUCCUAUCAAUCCUAAUCUUGAUCUGAGCUUUGAUAAUCCUCUUGCCCGUCAAAUGUUUAUGCUUCACAAUACUCUUGGUGAAGCCUAUCCCCCUAACUGUACUGUAGGGUAUAACACCUCAUGCUUCAGAAUGGAUUAUGGACAACGGAUGCACUAAUCAUAUGACUGGUGAUCGAAGUCUUCUCAUGGACUCAACCUUACGUCCAUCUGACAAGAAUCACAUCACAUUUGCUGACACUGGUAAAAGCAAGGUAUUGGGUCUAGGUAGAGUUGCAAUCUCAAAGGAUCAGCACAUGGAUAAAGUGAUGCUUGUUGAAUCCCUUGGUUUCAACUUAAUGUCUGUCUCAAUGCUUUGUGACUUGAACAUGAUUGUGAUAUUUGGAAAAUAUCAUUGCCUUGUACUAAUGAAAUCUGACAAGUCUCUAGUCUUUGAAGGGUACCGGAAAGAUGAUCUGUACAUGGUAGAUUUCUCAGUAGGGCCACAGCUUGCCAUAUGCCUUCUUGCAAAAGCUUCAGAGUGUUGGCUCUGGCAUCGGAGGCUAGGGCAUGCUGGCAUGAGGAACUUACACACUCUCGCCAAGAAGAAGCAUGUCAUAGGCAUCGAGGGCGUCAAGUUCAAGAAGGAUCACUUGUGCGGUGCCUGCGAAGCUGGAAAGAUGACUAGGGCCAAGCAUCCCUCGAAGACAAUCAUGACGACAUCUCAACCCUUCGAUCUGCUACACAUGGACUUAUUUGGCCCUACUCACUACUCUACUCUCACUACUACUGCUUGUCUUUAUGGCUUCGUCAUUGUUGAUGAUUACUCAAGAUAUACGUGGGUGCACAUAAUUCUCUACAAGACUGAAGUGCAAGAUGUCUUCAGACGCUUCGCCAACCGUGCCAUGAACAACUAUGGCGUCAAGAUCAAGCAUAUCAGAAGUGACAACGACACUGAGUUCAAGAACACCGGCCUUGACCUUUACUUGGAUACAUUGGGAAUCACUCAUGAGUUCUCCGCUCCGUACACACCUCAACAGAAUGGCAUCGUGGAGCGCAAGAACAGAACCCUCAUUGAGAUGGCUCGGACGAUGCUCGAUGAAUACAAGACACCAAGAAAGUUCUGGCCUGAAGCUAUUGAUACUGCAUGCCAUGUCAUCAACCGCGUUUAUCUUCACAAGCUUCUGAAGAAAACAUCUUAUGAACUCUUCACUAGUAAGAAGCCAAAUGUCAGUUACUUCAGAGUCUUUGGUGCUAGGUGCUGGAUCAAGGAUCCACAUCACACUUCAAAAUUUGCACCGAAAGCACAUGAAGGUUUUAUGCUUGGUUACGGAAAGGACUCGCACUCCUACAGAGUCUUCAACCUCUUUCACUAUAAAGUGGUUGAAACUGUGGAUGUGCGGUUCGAUGAGACUAACGGCUCGCAAAGAGAGCACCUGCCAAAUGUGCUAGAUGAAGUUCCACCCAGUGAAUCCAUCAAGCUAAUGGGAACUGGAGAAAUCAUACCGUCUGAAGCACAGCCUGAAGAGGAACUUAUCAUUUCUGCACCUGAUCAACCUGAAGACAAUGCUCAGCCCGAAGACAAUCCACCCAACGAUGACAAUGAUCAACAAGAGCAAAAUCUUCGUCCAGUUCAUCCUCGUGUUGCAAAUGAAGUACAGAUUGAGAAGAUAAUUGAUAGCAUCAAUGCGCCUGGUCCACUCACUCGUUUAAGAGCAACACAACUAGCAAAUUUCUGUGGGCACUUUGCUUUUGUCUCAAUAUCUGAACCCAAGAAAGUUGCUGAAGCCUUCAUGGAACCUGAAUGGAUUCAAGCUAUGCAAGAAGAGCUUCAACAGUUCAAGUUGAACAAUGUCUGGGAACUUGUCAAGCGUCCUGACCCCCGCAAGCACAACAUAAUAGGCACAAAAUGGAUAUACCGCAACAAACAAGAUGAGCAUGGUCAAGUUGUCAGAGACAAAGCUCAUCUCGUUGCUCAAGGAUACACUCAAGUUGAAGGAAUGGACUUCGAUGAAACAUUUUCUCCUGUGGCUAGGCUUGAAGCUAUUCGCAUAUUGCUAGCCUAUGCAAACCAUUACAACAUCUUGCUGUAUCAAAUGGAUGUGAAAAGUGCAUUUCUCAACGGCAAGAUUGAAGAAGAAGUGUAUGUUGCACAACCUCCUGGCUUUGAAGAUCCAAAACAUCCUGAUAUGGUGUACAAGCUAAACAAGGCACUGUAUGGCCUCAAACAAGCCCCUCGCGCUUGGUAUGACACGCUCAAAGACUUCCUGAGGAGCAAAGGCUUCAAACCUGGUUCCCUGGAUCCCACACUCUUCACGAAGACAUAUGAUGGUGAACUAUUUUGUGUGCCAAAUAUAUGUGGAUGACAUUAACUUCGGCUGCACCAACCAGAAAUACAGUUAUGAGUUUGGACACAUGAUGCAAGAGCAAUAUCAAAUGUCCAUGAUGGAUUGCCUAACGAAGUUUGGGAUGCAAGACUGCAAAGGUUACAUGACGCCAAUGCCAACCAAGAGUCAUCUGAGUCCUGGCGCCAAUGGUAAAGAGUUCGAUCAAAAGGUAUACCGCUCCAUGAUUGGUUCUUUACUUUAUUUAUGUGCAUCUAGGCCAGAUAUAAUGCUUAGUGUUUUCAUGUGUGCUCGAUUCCAAGCGGCACCAAAGGAAUCGCAUCACUUAGCUGUGAAGCGAAUUCUUUGAUAUUUGGCUUACACCCCAACAUUAGGAUUAUGGUAUCCAAAGGGCUCAGAGUUUGAUCUAGUUGGAUUCUCGGAUGUUGAUUAUGCUGGUGACAAGGUGGAUCGCAAGUCUACAUCAGGCACAUGUCACUUUCUGGGACGAUCACUUGUUUGUUGGUCUUCAAAGAAGCAGAACUGUGUAUCACUCUCCACUGCUGAAUCUGAAUACAUUGCUGCUGGAUCUUGCUGCGCUCAGCUUAUAUGGAUGAAGCAAACACUCAAGGACUAUGGCAUCCAUCUGAAACAAGUACCACUCUACUGUGACAACGAAAGCGCCAUCAAAAUUGCCAACAACCCAGUUCAACACUCGAAGACAAAGCACAUUGAGAUUCGUCAUCACUUUCUCAGAGAUCAUGUCAUGAAGGAAGAUAUUGAUAUCAUACACGUCAACACUGAAGAGCAACUGGCAGAUAUCUUCACAAAGCCCUUGGAUGAGAAAAGGUUUUGCAAGUUACAGUGUGAGCUAAAUAUCUUGGAAUCCUCAAAUGUCCUGUGAUCAGGCACACAUCCUAACACUUAUGCAUGUUGAUGACUUAGAUGUGCAACACACGAAGUAAAGUAUAUCUUCAAUCAAUGAAGACUUACAUUCUAAGUGUGAAUACAUUAACUCGGAAUUUGACUUCGGAGCGCCAUGAUAAUUAUGCGCCGUGUCUGGGUCUAAUACUUCCUAUACGGUGGGUAACGCCACCACUAAAUUCUUCUGUUUGAAGUGUUUUCUCAUGGCGUAACAUUUGCUAUGUCUUCGCAUUUGGUUUGGCUUCAAUUUCAACAUGUCUUCUUGAUUAUCUUCACUAUGUUGAUUUGGUUGUAUUCUGAUAUAUAUAUACAUAUAUUAGUGUUCUGUCCUCUACAGCAUUCACUUAUAGCUAUGUCUUCUCGUUUGAAUCUUUUGAACUAAGUGAAUGUGAUCGGACCCUAACCUCUCUAUGCUUCCUACCUCAAACUCUAUCUAUCCAAAUCAUAUGCAUUCUGUUGAAACUGUCGAAUGUCUUCUCUGCGUCCUUGUCAGCAGAAGAUACAGAGACAAACAUUAAAUCUGUUUUAAAUGUUCAAUUCUUAUUGCCUGAAACCCGGAGAAGCCGGAACGACCAUCCGACAGUCCAGGCGGGCGUGGGAAUGUGGGACAACUCCCAAUGUGUUGCAUGUUCGCCACGUGUCCCUUAGAUGUGAACCGCCAGGGGCACCUGCGUAAUUGCACUGUGACGUCCCUUUCCCUAUAAAUACCCGUCCAAUCGCGGUCAAAAUCCUUCUUCCACCUCUCCUCCUCGACAAACCCUAGCGCCACCGCUAGCUCUCGACGACGCCGGCGACGAAGCGCUUAGCUGCCGCAACCUCUCCGACACCGUCUUCACGCCGGCCGCGGACAUCGUCUUCUCCACCGCCGCCGUAGGUGUCCUCCGUCGCCAAGGUAGGGCACGGAAGAUCAAACUGCUCGGCCUCAUCUUCUACUCCGUCUAGCAGUUCAUCGUGUGGUAAAUUAAAACCCUCUUUUUACCGUCUUCUUGAUCCUAUAGAUUCAUCCUUUCUACCAAAAGUGGUUUCUGCCUCCACAAAUUUGGAUCUAUCCUGUCUGCAUCUCAUAUAAUUCCUAGUAUAUUCACUUAUGCUUCACACAUAGUUAGAUUCCUCACUUGUACUUAUUCUUGGAUUCGUACAAAUCUGGAACCAACUCUCAACAUAUAAGUGAAUGUCUUCGCGUUAUGAGCUCAAUGUCUUCUAAACUGAUUUAUCUUCAAAAUCUUCUGAGAAUGCAUAUGACCUCUUCCCCUUCCCUCGCAUCUCUAAUGCUAUCACAGGUACACGUCCGUGGGAAAAUCCCUUGGUUCUCAUACUCUGCAUUCAUUUGCAGAAUUCUUACAGCAUCACAUCAACUCUCCCGAAGCCAGUUCCUGUCUGACCAGCAGACGGAAGCCUUUGCCAGUGUUGAAGCCAUUCAGUCUGAACUUCAUGGCAACAGAGAAGUCUGCAAGGAAGGGUGGCAGACAGCGCCGUGGGAACACCUCAAGAGAUUUGCCUCCUGACCUCUAUGAGCUGUACAAGACAGAUCCAGAGGAGGACUACAAUCAAAGAAAAACCCUAAUCCAAUGGAUUCAAAGAUAUUGGGCAGAACAAUGGUACAAGUACAAGUUCGUGACCCAGGAAUAUGCUGAGAAGAAUGCCAUCAAGCGACCCUGGGGAGACAUUUUGUACAAAAAUCUUCCACCCAGGUCCAGAGCUGAAGCCAUUGAACAAGGCUUCUACCCUUGCAUGGUCCGUGGACCACAGCCUGCAGAUGCCGACCCAUCUUCAUUGCUAUGGUGUCGUGACGACAAUCUGUUCAAGCGCAACUUCCAGUUUGCCAAGAACUCGACCAAAGAAAACAAGAAGUCGCGGGGAUUAGACUUCAAUCCAGGCCCCUCUGCUCCUCGUGCCGAUGGCUCACGCGAAGCUGAACCCAAUAUUGUUGGGCCCUUCUACAACCUAGAAGGUCUCAUCACUCAUAUUAUGGUUCAAGGGACAGCCAUGGAUGAACCUGCAGACGACGUUGAUUCUGACGAAGCGCCUGCACCACCGAAGCCAAAGAAGCUGAAGAAACCUAAAGCUUCGAAACCUUCCCCUACACCAAAAGCUUCACGAGUGAAGCCUCUGGCCACUGCUCCUCCUGCACCAAGUGUGCAGUCUGAAGAUCUCUCACGCAUCUCCUAGUCUGAGAAGAAGAAAAAGAAGCCUAUGCACACCACUGGUCUAGCUCUGACCCCUGCUGCUGUUCUGAGGAACGAGAAUGACGCCAUUGAUCUGUCAAGUGACGACGAUCUUACUGAUGACGCUCUUGAGCAGCUGAUAAAGAGAAAGCAAGAGGCGGAAAUCUUCAAUGAUUUGCCUCUCUUUGACAUGGAAGUAUUGAACAACUUCAUUGAUGAGUGGUUUGACACCCCCAAUCUCAGCUUUGACGAUCUGCAACUUCCCAUUGGCCUGAGCGUCUCCUUCCAUGGCGCCAUUGCUCCUGAGCUGGCUCUUGCUCAGAAAAUUGUUGAGCUGAAGCACAAGAUCGAUUAUGAAAAGGCUCAGUUCACGAAGCACAUGGCCAAGCUCAGCGUGGCAGACGUCCAGAACUUCAAGGUCAUGCUGCAUGAGCUCAAGGAAGCGUUUCACAAGAAACGUGAUGAAGCCAAAGGUUGUCGUGAGCGCAUGAAGAUUCUCGCUGCCAAGUGUGUUCAAGCUUACAAUGAAGCUGAGAAGCGCAAGGCACUUGGGCGUCCUGGCAUUGACCCUAAGAUGGCUGCCAAGCAGAAGAAGAAGCCAUCUGUAGACCAAGCUGAACCAUCCAGGCAGGAAGAACCUCGCAUUGUCUUCCCAGCCAGUAUGACAGGCAUGAAGCCUAAGGUCCCCACAGUGGCUUCAGAGCUUCAGAAGACAAGGGCAGCUGAAGCCAAGGCCAGAAAGCGCAAGACCAAGAACACCACUGAUGAUGCUCCACCCACCAAGAAGCACAAGACCAAGAAGAGAGAUCGGGCUGCUCCCACAGAGACCCUUGUCGUCGAGCCAAUUUCUGUUGCUCGUCCUGAAUCUGCACAACAAGAACGUCGAAUGAUAGUUCAUGAGCCUGCUUCCACAAAGGCUCCUGAAGCUGAAGACAUUCCAGCUGUUGACCCCACCGCAGCUGAAGACAUUGGUCAUCAUGACAAUGUUGAAGAUGAUGAAGUCCUUCCUCAGAUCGAGCACAAUGUGGUAUCAUCGCCUGUUCUUACGAACAGCGAACUCAUCAGCAUUGGUCGUCCAUUGACGCCAAUUGCUUAGGAUGACUCAUGGGCUGAUCACCCACAAGACUCCCCACGUCAAGAAGAAACACCAGUUACUCCCCCAACACAGGUCACCACUCCGGUGAUUGAAGAUGAAGACUUUGUGGCCCAACCAACUCCAUCUCCACAAGCGUCGCCAGUGUUCCGCAGGCUUCGCAAAGGACCAAGGCCACAGGUCACUCUGUCAAGUGUUCCAGAAGGAGAAGAGCGCCAAUCCGUUUCACGCCAAGUCUUUCCUGAAGCCUCUCCAACUGUGAACAACCCCGAGACUGAAGCCAACAUGGCUGAAGAUAUCCGGCUGCAUCAGCCGAUGACCAAGAAGAACCAAGAGAAGAAGAAGCACGUGUUGCUACACCCCCAACCAACCAAGUUGUUCUCGAGGAGAACGUGUCUGACCCUCCAGCUACUCAAGUGGAGGUUAACAACAUUGAGGCGGCCACUAACACCAACACCAACACUGAAGCCAAUGACGUUGUCAUGGCUGAAGCUAAUGUGGCGCCUGAAGUCAAUGUGGUGCCCGAAGUGAUAGCACCUGAAGUCAAUGCUGCAUCUAAUGUCAAUCAGCAGCCUGAAGCCACUGCCACUGCUCUGGUACCGCCUCCCAGGCCAUAUACUAUUGAGCAAGCAUACAACUAUGGUCAGCUGGUCACUGUCAGAUGGCCUAUUCUGGUUCCUCCUCCUGCUGCUGGUCCGCAAUUUGACUAUCAUGUCGAGCACAGGCCACAGGUCCAGAAGCCAAAGCCAAGACUGCCCAGGUUUCCAGGUACUGCCACUUCACCAGGGUCCUUCAAUGCAAAUGGCUUCAUUGCGCACAACACUUUCUUUGAUAGCGCCAAGAACCCCUAUUCCAAGCGAAGGAUUUCAUCAGAUCGGUUCUGGAGCUAUCAGCAGCGCAGUUACUAUUCAUGUGUUCUUUAUGAUCAAGGGCGCAUCUUCCCUCAUAUGCGUCUUGACUGUGAAGCCAUUGCUGGAGUGCCAUGCCUUGAAGAAGCCCUUGACUGCUUCUGUGAUGCUGGACUGCUGAACUUUGUGACUGAUAAGGAGCAUUGGAAUGAAGAACUUCUGCUUCAAUUUUAUGCUACCCUCCACAUUCGCGGAUACAACAGGGAUCCGAAGACUUGGGUCCUUGAGUGGAUGACAGGCAAUGUCCAUCAUGAAGCCAAAGCUCUUGACAUCAUUGGGCUAACCGGCCUACCCACUACAGGAGAAUUAUAUGAACUUGGUUGUCAGCUUCACCGCAAUGCUUUGGAGAGUAUCUUCCAUAAGCCAGAGCCCAACAUGAGCCAAAUGCUGAGCAUGAUGAAGCCUCUGCCACAUGACGCUGAUUACCCAAAGGAGUUCUUUGUCGAAGACCUAGAGUAUCUGCCCCACACUAUUUAUCACAUCAUCAGGCGAACUCUAUGGCCUGUCAAAGGACAUUCGUCAGCAGCAAAACUUGAAGGAGCAAUGAAGACUUUGGUCUUUUAUAUCUUCAACGGCAUCAGCUUCAAUGCUCAAGACUUCUUUAUCAGGCAAUUGGCUGCAUCAGGCUCUGAUCUCUUUGGACUGAAGUUCUACGCUCCGUGGGUCAUGCGCCUCAUCAAGCUACACUCAGCUGUCAACUAUCAGCCCUCUGCUCGCAACCAUCUGAUCUUUCUGCCAGAGGUUGAUAUGUCAGUUGAAGCCAUAUACCCAGAGCCUGCCAAGGAGCCUGUUUGUCUUCACAAUGCUGAUCACCAAAGCUUCACGCAACCCAUUGAAGGAGUCCAGGCAGUCACUCGUGUUUACCCUUUGGCUAGCAAUACUCGCUUACCUCACCGUGCUCAAACUGAAGCCACUAAAAGCACUAUUGCUCAAAGGCCUCGGAAGCGAUCUCGUGUUCUCAAUGACCAAGAACUUCUCGUUGCCCUGCAUCAGAAACAGGAUAAGCAUCACUUCUGGCUGAAGCGGCAGAUGCAAAGCCUCUUGGUGGACGUCAAUCGCAUUCGCAAUCUUGCCACCAAGAAUGCCUUUGUUACACAUGAAACCUGUCGGAGGUCCUGGAAGAGUUUGACAUUGCUGAGUGCUGAAGCAGAUCUUCAAGACGAUGGCUUCACUGAAAGAUUCAAGUUUGACUCCACUCCUCCAAGGAAUGUUGUCUUGCGUCGAACUCCGUCUCUUGAGGACUCUGAUUAUUCCUCCUCCGCUGCAACGGUGAAUGCCAGAGUGAUCGAUGAUCAAGAUGAUGCUACUUCACCACCUCCAACUUCAGCGCGUAUCGACACUGCACCAAGUUCUUCUGCACCGCCAAACCCCGACGCCGACCUUGCAUCUUCUCCUACUCCUUCUGGGAACGAGUAGAGGCUCUAUGUAUUCAAACCUUUUCGGUCCUUACUGACAAAAGGGGGAGAAGCAUAUGAGUUGAUAGUCUUCAAGCGGGUCCAUAUGGGCGGUUGCUUUAUAUUUUGCCUAGUGUUUACAACUCUCGCUUUUGAUACAUUUGGCUUUUCCGGCCACCGGUGGCUGCGCCAAGAGAUGGAAUGGUUGGGGAGCAUCUCCCGCAGCCCCGGCAAGGGCGCAUCGCCGCAUGCAGGUACGGGUUCGUCGUCCCGCCGCCGUCGACGGUUUGUGGGCAUGGAUUCGUCCGGCCGUCCACCGGGCUCAGCGCUCGCGCAACGGCUCUGUGGCUCGCCGAUGCCGCUCAUACAGUGCGACGACUGCACGUGGACAGUGCUGCGGCUAACUUUGGGCACGCUGAAUGUAAGUGCAUCUAGUGCCACCCCUAGUUGGUUUUGGAGUAUUGACGAUAAACCUGGUUGAGGGACUAAUGUGUUUGUGAGAAUUGCAGGAUAACACAGGUAGUAGUCCCUCAUUGAUACGGUUUACCUACCGGAGAUGACCCCUAAAAAUGUAUGAAGACAUUGAAGGCAAUGGUGGUAUGUGAAGAUAUUCACAUUGAAGACUAUGACAAGAGAAGACAUUGCGUGAAGACUAUGGAGCGCGAAGACUUAGUUGUUUCGUUGUUUCCUUUUCUUCUUUGUUGAGUCAUAGGAACCACCGUACUGUUAAGUGGGGUCCCAGUGAACAAAGUCAGAGUGACUGAAGUGAUGCUCAACCAAAAUCCUAUGUCUUCGAGCGAAGAAAAUGAGAGCAAAUCUUAUCCAGAGCUGGAUGAGUCAGCUUUACUUGUAGCCCAAGUAAAGUUGCCGCGUGUGUUUGAAAUCUGACCGUUGGAACACGUGUCAGUUCCUUAGUGACCCAGGGUCAUUUCGGACAAAUCAGGUCGGGUUGCCUAGUGGCUAUAAAUAGUCCACCCCCUACACCAUAAAUUGGUGGCUGCUCAGAGUUAGUGCACGGCUUUUGUCGUUUGAGAGAAACCCACCUCCGAAGCUUUUGAGAGAGAGAAAUCCUUGCGAGGACAAAGCCCAAACACCCAGAGCCAAAGAGUGUUAGGCAUCACUGAAGUCUUUCUGUCCGCGUGACCUGAAGACUUGUUACACUUGAGGACUGUGAAUCCUCCAGCCGGUUAGGGGUCGCGUUCUGAGCAUCCAAGAGUCAUUGUGGAUCGCCGGUGAACGAAGUCUGUGAAGGUUUGGAAGUCUACCUUGAAGACUUACCAGAGUGAUUGGGCGAGGACUGGGUGUCCUUAGCUCAAGGGGAAUAAGGUGAAGACGCGGUCUUCUGAGUUGAAUCUCAUCCUCCCUAACCAGACGUACAGUUGUCACAGCAACUGGAACUGGUCCAACAAAUCCUGUGUCCUCAACAAGUGACUGGUUCUAUCCUCUUCCUCUCCUUACUUACAGUUUGUCUUCGUGAAGUCAUUGCCUGUUUGCUUGACCUAUUUGUCUUCACUGUGUGACUACUAUCGUUGUUUGGCUUCAUACCAUCUUCCAUCCUGAUCCUUACUACCUAGCUGCUAUUAGUCUUCGUGCUUUCACUUCAUUGCAUACUUGACUAUGGGUUGCUUAGUGUAGUUUACCUUCCGCUGCAUAUCAAUAGGUUCAUUUCUAUUGUUUGUCUUCGAAACUCUCAUGUUUUGAAGACUUUCAUAAAAAUCGCCUAUUCACCCCCCUUUAGUCGAUAACUAGCACUUUCACCGAAGCACCCCGGAUGGGUGUUCUUCAAAUGCGAAAACGACGGGGUAAGUGCACUUGCGGUAGCACAUUUUGAUAGCUCAUCCUUUGGUUCAAUUGCGGUAGCUCAUUUCGAACAUGCUCAUUCCUCACGUGUGUAGGAAGAUGGAUGCUCAUUUUGGUUUUGGAAAGGCGAAUACAUUGAUUUAUUGAUAGAAAGAAACUUAAUAGACGUCCGUGCACUCCUUAGUAGAAUCGAAGGCAAUGAUGCAGCUGCAUUUGCAACUAGAGGGGAAGCAACGUCUACUUCUUUUGAACCAAAGAUGAAGAAUGAAGAAUGCAAGAUCAAGAAUCCGCAGAUCAACAAUGAGUGCAUGGAGAAGAUAUUGCUUCAACUAGUGGGGAGCAGUUAUGGAAGUUGGAAAUCUUCUAAAAUGCAUACUUGUGGUUCUUGUUUUCUUUGGUCUUGCUAUUCUAGCAAAGAUUUGGUGAUGUCUUAUGUAUCCAAUGUUGUUGAAAAAGCAAAGAAAUGCAUCAUGUUGGAUCAAAUUAAGGUGCAAAUUAAGGUUUUCCGGGCCGGGAGGAGCUGCGCUAGAUCAGACCCCGCAAAGCCGACCCGUAAAAGAGCAUAUUCCGCGAAUAUCCUUUUUUACGGGUCCUUUAUGCGGGGUCUACAACUGCGGCCGUGCACUCCGGCCCGCAAAGGCGUUUUUCCGCGAACUGCAAACACGUUUUGCGGGCCGGCCGGAUGCGGGGUCUGCUAGAGUUGCUCUAAGUAAGUUGACCUGUUUUUCCUACCUCCCAUGUUUAUUGGCCCUUUUUUUUUUACCUUUCGAGGUUACUAAUCUUUUUUUUUUGUGUGUGUGUAUACUGAAAUGGUACAUAGUUUUUGGGUGGUUCAGAUAAGGCAAAAAGCAACGCCGGUUGUUGAAAUGUUGGCCCCCGUUUCAUCUUGGGUGGUUUGUUCAGAGAUGCGGUAAAAGAUCACCCAACUCUAUUUUAGUUUGCAUCUGUGCCUGAGGGAUUUAUUUGAUAAGUUCAUUCUCCUAAGUUUGGUUGAUGACGAUGCACAUUUAGCCAGCCUGACGUAUCACAACUGAAU